rnacentral:rRNA from 1 species
GGAGGCAGCAGUGGGGAAUCUUCCGCAAUGGACGAAAGUCUGACGGAGCAACGCCGCGUGAGUGAUGAAGGAUUUCGGUCUGUAAAGCUCUGUUGUUUAUGACGAAGUGCAGUGUGUGAACAAUGCAUUGCAAUGACGGUAGUAAACGAGGAAGCCACGGCUAACUACGUGCCAGCAGCCGCGGUAAUACGUAGGUGGCGAGCGUUGUCCGGAAUUAUUGGGCGUAAAGAGCAUGUAGGCGGCUUAAUAAGUCGAGCGUGAAAAUGCGGGGCUCAACCCCGUAUGGCGCUGGAAACUGUUAGGCUUGAGUGCAGGAGAGGAAAGGGGAAUUCCCAGUGUAGCGGUGAAAUGCGUAGAUAUUGGGAGGAACACCAGUGGCGAAGGCGCCUUUCUGGACUGUGUCUGACGCUGAGAUGCGAAAGCCAGGGUAGCGAACGGGAUUAGAUACCCCGGUAGUCCUGGCCGUAAACGAUGGGUACUAGGUGU